CACAGACUGCUGAUCUAAUCACUACUAUUUUUUUCUAAACUCCUUUUUUCCCCUCUUGGCUGGUGUCAUUUAUAGACAGUCCGAUGUAACCCAGGCUAGUCUUGAACUGCUGCUGAUCCUCCUAGCCCUACCUCUUUAGUGCUUGGAUGAAGGCUUCGCCUACAGUACCGGGAGUGGCAUGUUCUACUAUUGUUGAGCAUCCUAGGCCUGCUUUACUGAAAUUGUUGAUCCUUAGAGGACCUCAGGACCUGUUCUCAUGUGUCUUUGGGUGCGCCUGGGCACCCCUCCAGCUGAAGCAAAGAUCACUCGUGGGCUAUUGUGUAGCGAGUUAUGCUAACACUAGAGACCCUGUGACUAGGAGGAAAGGCAAGGAAUGCAAGAAGCAAGCGCAAGUCCUUAAAUGCACCUUCCCUGUCUUUUCGAAUUGGGCUUCCUUCCUAAGGGAGCUGCUUCUAGCAUUCAGACCUCGCUAGCCAAUCAGAGUAUUAAGCGGGCUGUCCAAUCAGGAUAUCUGGCAGGCGGCGGGGAGGCGGGUCUUCUCUGGUUGCAGUGUUGUGUGUAGGUUCUCCGUGGCGGACACGGGUACGAGUGGGCCCCGCUUUCGGCGCUGGUACCAGGAGCUCUGAGAGGAACGUGGGCGAGCUCGGAAGCUGCGCCAUGGUGAGCGAGGGGCCUCUGCCCCCAGAGCGGGAGGGGCGGCGACUGAGCCCCGGGAGCCGGUGUGCCGGGCGCUCUUCGGGACUGGGGCGGGGCCGACAUGCUGCGAAGCAACCUAGGCCCUGGACCGGCGGCCUCUGGGCAGCUCCGCCUCUCGGCCGCUUCUGCGCAGAGCAAGGAGUAGCGAAAGGCUCCGCCCUGCGCUGGGGACGCCCGGGUUGGUGACGUCGCAGCUGUGCGAGCGCUCAGAGCCUAUGUUCUUUUUUGUCCCGAGGGCCAGUUGCUAGCUAAGUGAGGGUAGUCUAUAGUUUCUUCGAGUUAUAGAAGUUCUGACGUUUACGUUUCCUGUCUAGGCUUAGAAUGUACUUUAAAUUACUUUUGCGAAAGUUGUAAAGUCUACCCAAUAUUUGGUCUAUAUCUGCGUGUUUGUUUUACUAGUUUGUUAAGUCACUUACUGUAUUUUGGGUUUGCUUCUGACUGUUUAAAUUGUUAUUUCUUAGUUUUGAAAUACUGUACUACUUUGAUUAUUGCAGUUUUAUCGGGAGUCUUAAAGUCAGGCAGUGUUCUGUUAAUGCUUCAGUAUCGUGUUAACUUUUUUCUUUUUCUUUUUUUGAGACAGGAUCUCGGGUUUCCCAAGUUGGCCUCAAACUUUCUCUUAGCUGAGGAGGACCUUGAACUUCUGAUCCCGCUACCCAAACCCACCUCCAGAGUGCUGGGAUUAAGGGAGUUUUUGGCCUUUGAGGAUGUGGCUGUGGAGUUCAGCCAGGAAGAAUGGGUUUUGCUGGAUCCUUCUCAGAAGAAACUAUACAGAGAUGUGAUGCUGGAAACCUGCAAUAACCUUUCUUCAAUAGGCAUCAAAUGGGAAGACAAGAACAUUGACGAGCAGUACAAACACUCUUGGAGAUUCCUAAGAAGUUGCAUGAUAGAUGCAAUUUAUGAGCACAGAGAAGGUGGUCAGUUUCAAGAAACCUUUACCUGGAUACCAGAUUUCCAUAGGAGUACUGACAUUUCUACUGAAGUAAAACCAUUUGAAUGUGGUGUGUGUGGAAAAGUUUUCACGUGUCAUUCAUCCUUUAAUGAGCACAUCAUGUCUCACUUAGGGGACAAACCAUCUGAACACAAACAUGGUUCAUGUGGAAUACAGCAACAAAGUCAGAGUGUUGAAAAAUCCUAUAAACAGUGUGGAAUGGCCUUCGCUUGCCACUGUUCGCUUUCUAUAGAUGGAAGAACCAACAGUAAAGAUAAAUGUUACAAAUGUGAACAAUCCAGUAAAGCUCUGAGUUCUUCCAGUUCCCUCCAGAGUCAUAAAACAGUUUAUGGUGCAGGAAGAACCUAUGAGUGUGAAGAGUGUGGAAAAUCCUUUAGACAUGAGAGUUCCUUUUUAUUACACCAAUUAACUCACAUUGGAAGGAAAUCCUAUGAAUGUAAACAAUGCGGGAAGGCCUUCAGGUGUCACAGUUAUCUUCAGUUACAUGAAAACUUUCAUAUUGAAGAAAACCCCUACGAAUGUAAACAGUGUGGAAAAACCCUCUGUUCUCCCAGUUCCCUUCGAGUUCAUGAAAGGAUUCACAAUGGAGAAAAACUUUAUGCAUGCAAGCGGUGUGAUAAAACUUUCAAAUGUCAAAGUUACCUUCGAAUACAUGAAAGAACUCACACAGGAGAAAGGUGCUAUGAUUGUGAACAAUGUGGUAAAGCUUUCAGAAGUCACUGUUCCCUUCAGAGACAUAAAAUAGCUCAUCCUAGGAAAAAAGCCUACGCGUGUAAACAAUGCGGUAAGUCCUUCGCUUAUCCAUAUUUACUUCAAACACAUGAGAGAUUUCACACAAGAGAAAAAACGUAUAAAUGUCGGAUCUGUAGUAAAGCCUUUCUUUGUUCCCCCUUUCUUCAGAGACACAAAAGAACGCACACUUGGGGGAAACCGUAUAAAUGUAAACAGUGUGGUAGAGCCUUCAGAAGCCACAGUUCCCUUCGACUGCAUGCAAGGGGUCACACAGUAGAAGAAUCUUACACAUGUAGGGUCUGUAGUAAAGCCUUUCUAUGUCCUCCUUUCCUUCAGAGGCAUGAAAAAACUCACGCUGAGGAAAAGCCCUUUGAAUGUAAGCAAUGUAGUAAAAUCUUCAGAGAUUGGAGUACCUUCCAAGUGCAUGAAAGAUCUCACACUCUAGAAAAGCCCUAUGCAUGUAAGCUAUGUAGUAAAGCCUUUUUUUAUUCCUCUUCCCUGGAAAGACAUAAAAAGAUUCACACUAGAAAGAAAUGCUAUCCAUGUAAAUCCGCAUGCGAACAGUGUGGCCAGUCCUUUAUUUUUCCCUGUUUACUUGAGAAGCAUUUAAGAACUCACACUGAUGAAAAACCCUAUGAAUGUAAACAGUGUGGUAAAACAUUUAGGAGUCUCACUUAUGCUCGCAUACAUAAAAGAACUCACACCGAAGAAAGACAGUAUGUAUGUAAACACUGUGGUAAAAGUCUCAGUUGUCCUAGUACUCUUCAGUUACACGAACUAACUCAUACUGGAGAAAAACUCUAUGCAUGUCAACAAUUUGAUAAAACUGUCAGAAGAUUCAGUUAUUUUCAAAUACCUGAAAGGGCUCGUACUGAAGAAAAAGCUUACAAAUGUAAGCAAUGUGGUGCAAUAUUCAGUUGUUCAAAUACCCUUCAGCUACAUGAAAGAAUCCAUACAGGAGAGAAAUCCCAUGAAUGUAAACAAUGUGGUAAAGCCUUCACAGUCCUCAGCAAUCUUCAAGUACAUGAACUAUCUCACACUCAUGAAAAAUCCUAUGGAUGCAAGCAACAUGGUAAUGUUUUCAGUCUUAGUAAUCUUAUACAGGAAAGAAAGAAAGCUGAAGCAAAUCUCUGUGAAUGUAAACAGUGUGGUAAAUCUUUUGUGUCUCGAUAUUUACUUCAAAUGCAUGAAAGGUCUCAUUCUGCAGAGAAACGCUACGAAUGUAAGGUAUGUGGUAAAAGCUUCAUUUAUCCCUCAUUUCUUCAAAGACACGAAAGAACGCAUACUGGAGAGAAACCUUAUGAGUGCAAACAAUGUGGUAAGGCCUUCAGAGUUCAGAGCUCCCUUCGAUUACAUGAAAGAACUCAUUCUGAGGAAAAACCUUAUGAAUGUAAAGACUGUGGUAAAGCCUUCUGGCGGCUCCCUUCUCUUCAAGUACAUGAAAGAAUCCAUACAGGAGAAAAGCCCUUUGAGUGUAAACAAUGUGAUAAAACCUUCAGGUGUCACAGUUCCCUUCAAAGACAUGAAAGAACUCAUAGUCACGAAAAACCAUAUGAAUGUACACAGUGUGGUAAGGGCUUUAGAUGUCACCGGUCCCUUCAAAGACAUGGAAAAACUCACGCUGAAGAAAAAGCCCAGGAAUCUGGACAGUGAGCAAAAAUUUUUAGGCUUUCCAGUUUCUUUUUUAUGUUUGAAAGUAACUCCUGGGAAGAAGUUCUGGUGCUAUAAAACAAGUGGUGGUGGUGGUUUUAAUCGUAGACUUACUGAAGAAAGACCUAUCAGUAAUAAUCAGUGACUUAAGAUGUUCAGUUCCAAGCCUGAUAUGGUGGUGAAUGCCUUUAAUCCUAGCACUGGGGAGGCAAAAGUAGGCAGAUCUCUUGUUCAAGGUCAGCCUCCUCUGCAAAUCAAGGUACAGGACAACCAGGGCUGCACAGAGAAACCCUGUCUCAAAAAACAAAAGAUGUUCAUUUCCGUUUGAAGCCUUGAACAUCUCUGGUGGAAUACCUUUGGAAUGUAUAUAAUAUGAGGAUAACUAAUUUUCCAUAUAUCCUCUUGAAUACUCACAUGAUAAUGCAAAUAGAGGUAGCUCUUAUAAGAAUAAGUGUCAGACUGAAAAUAGUUUGGAAAGUAAAGUUUGUAAAACUUACCUACACUGAAAGUCAUGAAGAAGACGAUUGGAAGUAAACCAUGUGUAUUUUGCAAUCCUCAUGCAAAUUCACCUGUAAUGCUCAGAUUUUUAUGAGUGUAUUCUUGUAAGGUUAGGGAUAUGUUGUGUUUGAUUUGCAAUUACUGGUGACCAUAGAAGGGGUGGUGGUGCAGCCCUCUAGUGCUAGCUACUCAGAUAGCUGGUGGAAGAGAAUUUGAAGCUCAGGACCUGACCAAGCAAUGAAAGCCCCAUUUUGCAAUCAAAAGUUGAAGAGUACGGGGUAUGUUGCUAAGUAGGUAGAAUACUUAGCUGGCAAGCAUGAGACUGUAAAUUCAAUCCCCAGUACUCUUACUAAAAGAAUAAAAAUCCCAAGAGAAUGAGUUGCCAUUUCUUUCAGAGAUGCAUACAUUAGAAUGAAAGUUGUUAAGUAUUCAACAAUAGAGAUAGUAUGUGAUAGAUAUGUUGCUGGACAAUUUUAUAACUGAAGAUCAUUGUGUCUUCUGUUACUUUUCCUGGUGCUGUGAUAAAAUGUUCCAACAAAAACAAGUUAGGAAGGGUUUCCUUUGUCACAGUUUGACAUGGCACAGAAGUUAGAGCAGGAGUAACAUGUGACAGCUUGCCACAUUGCACCUGGAGUCAAGAAACAGUGAUGAGUGGCCAUGAUUGCCUACCUUUCUCUCUGUUAUACGGUCUGGAACCCAAACCUAGGGAAUAAUGCCACCACCUUCACAAUGGGUCUUCCUGUCUCAGUUUAAAUCCCUUACAGGCAAACCCUGAGGCUCAUCUUCCAGGGGAUUCUAGAUCUAAAGAUGAUAUCAACUAACACAAAUAUAUUACAUACUGCCCCAAACACGGGCAGUAUGUUGAUUUAAUGCUUAUUCUAGGCAAGGAUAACUACUUAUUUAGGAAACUGAAAAUAUUUGAUGUGAAUAUAUGAAAGCAUAAUGGCAUAAAGAUAAGUGCUACACACUUAAUGAAGGCCCCAUAUUUUAAGUGGAGUCUUCUGGACUAGCUGUUCCUCUUGUCAGUGAGUUAUUUAGUCAAUGUCAAGAACAUUGCUGUAUACUAAGAUAUUACUAGUAACUUUAUAAACACUUUAGACUUAGAUUUUAUUGUCUGUAAAUUUUCUUUAGUAGAUUAGUUCAAAACUUUUUCACUUUGCAAAAUUAAAAAUAUUUGAUACUUUUCUAGACACUCAUUAUUGUGCAAGUAAGAAUUUAGUAUACCUUGGACUAUACUGUGUUAGAAAGCUUGAUUUGUAAAAUUUUCUAACUUACCAAAAUGUAUUUUAGAAAGUUUUUUUAAGUGAAUUUUAGUUUAGGAUUAUUUUGUUUGGGAUGAUACAAUAGUUUCUAAAAUGGUUCUAAAUGUACUUUUGCCAUUUUGUACUAAUUUAUAUGACGGGCACUCAGCAUUCAUGAUUCAACUCUGGACAACUUGGCUCUCUAUAUUUUGCAUUCUAAAAUAUUAAGCCAAGGUUUUUUUGAGACAAGGUAGCUCUGACCUAGAACUCAGUAUGUAGACCAGGCUGACCUUGAAUUCAGAGAUUCACCUGCCUUGGCCUCCUGAGUUGCUAGGAUUAAAGGCAAAUGCCACAUUCAGGUAAGAUUUGUAUGUAAAAUUAAGCCUCUCAUCUCAUUAGUUUGAAAAUUUGCUUUAACCUUUAAUAAAUAGUAAAAUUAUAUUUACUAAAGAAUUUUUAAAAUAGGUUUAUUUUUAAGAAUGUUUUAUCUUACAGUCGUCUUGUGUGGUGUGUGUAUAAAGAGAAGCCGUAUAGCCAGAAGCUGAUUCAUGCAGUGGGAAGAGUGGCCAAAUAAAAUUUUGCUUCUGUCAUGUUGAUACCUGGAGGUUCUGUUUUCUUCUGUUUAUAGGUCAGAGUAUAUAUAUAGAGAGAGUUAAGAUUAAAGAUCAGGGUUAGGAUUAGAGGAAUUUAAGGUAAGAGGAUUUUUACAGUUAAGGAUUAUGGUAAAUAAUGGUGGUAAGGCUAGAUGUUGGGUACAAGGAUUAGGGGUUAAAGUUCUAGAUUUACAUUUAGAUUUUGCAUUAGGGAUUAAUGAUUGGUAUAUGGUUAAGAGUAAUGUAAAGUGUGGUUGAAUAUGAGACACUGUGUUGUGUAUCAUUAGGGUUUGGGUUGGAAUUGGGUAUUGGUUGAGUUUGGGGUAGUGAUAAUAUUAACUGUGGUUAGAGUAGGAUUAAGGAUAGAAUUAGGGUAAUUUAGAGAAUAACAUUAGGAUUAGGGUCAGCAUUGGAAUGUUAGGUGAUUAGUGUUAGCAUUAGAGUAAGAGAUUAGGAUUAAAGGAUUAGGAUUGUGAAGCAGCAACACAUUCUGUCUUCCAAACAAGCCUUCUGUCUUAGGGUUUUAUUGUUGUGAAGAGACACCAUGACCAUGACAACUCUUUAAAAGGAAAACAUUUAAUUAGGGGUGGCUUAUGGUUCAGAGGAUUAGUCCUUUAUUGUCAUGGCAAGAAGCAUGGUGACAUGCAGGCAGACAUGGUGCUGGAGAGGUUCUGAGAGUUCUACAUCUAGAUCCACAGACAGCAGAAAGAGACAGACACUAGGCUUGCCUUGAGCUGCUAGACCUUAAAGCCUGACCCCAGUUACACAUUUCCUCCAACAACACUACAGCUACUCCAACAAGGCCACACCUCCCAGUAGUCCUAGUUCCUGUGAGCCUAUGGGGCCAUUUUCAUUCGAACUACCACACCUCCCUAUGUUUAGAGACUUCUAUAUGAAGAAGUGUGUUAGGUUGGAAAACAAUUCAUAUUAACUGGUAGGUUGUGAAGUGUGUUCUUUUCAGUACUCUAGAUGCUUUCAAUGAAUAAUGUUGCCUUGAAACUUAGUGUCUUAGAAGUAUAUUUUCCUUAGGACUUCUUAAGUCAGUAGCCAUGGUAGGAAGAGGUCUGGAUUAAGGGGGUGUUUCAGAGGCCUAAAACUGUUUUUGCUUCAUAUGAGAUGAAUCUCACUUACCGUGGCAGCAACACCUUGUGCUUUUAAAGCACAUUGUAUAGUGAUUUAAAAAAACCCAUCAGUCUGCCCAUAACAGUGAUCCAUUGUCCCAUCAUGUUCUUUUUCUGUCUCACUACAGUGUUUCUGUCCCACUAAAGUGUCUCUAUUCCCCUGUUCCCCUGUGUUCCAUCAUAAAACUCACCUGUUGUCACAAUAUUCUGUCAUAUAAUAUCCAUCAAGUUAACAUCACCAUGCUCUCAACUCUGCUGUCUUCCAUUGUUCUAUUAUAGUGCUUUAUAGUCCAAUCAUAGCGCUCCCCUAUCCAUCAGUGUCCAGUUUUUCUAUUCUGCACCAGUGUACCAGCUAAAGUGCUCAAUUGUUCUAUCAGUAUUCCACUGUUUCAGCACAAAUGUUCCUCUGCCUCAUCACCUGGUUCUUCUGCAUUAUCUCAAGGGUCCACUGUGCCUCUCGUCUAUACCAUUAUACCAGUACUCCUGGACAGUCCAUAAUUAUAACUGCCCAGUAACAGUGCUAUACUGUGACAUUAUAAUACUUAUCUUUUUGGGUUUUUUGUUUUUAAUCACUGUGCUCUUCUGUGCCAUCACAAUGUACUACUGUGAUAGCUCAGCACUACUCGUUGCAUCAGUCUCCAUUGUUCUAUAACAAUAUAUUGCUGCCCAUCAUGAGUGCUCUUCCAUCCUAUUUCCAUGUUUCAUUUUCUAUCACAGUGCACCACAAUACCCAUCACAAUAUCUCGCUUUGUUUCUCCCCUUGAAAUAUUUCUGAUAUGUAGUCCUAGCUGGCAUGGAAUUUGAUAUGUAGACCAAGCUGGCCUCAAACUCCCUGCCUCCUUAGUGCUAGUAUUAAAGGGGUGAGCCACCACAUCUGACCCACUGGUUUUUGGUCAGUUCACUCCUGUCCCAUUGUAAUGGUUCAUUGUCCCAUAGCAAUGUUCUACUGACCAACCACUCACAGGAUUUUUAUUUAUUGCCAUACAUUUAGAAGUCUUGUCACAAUGUGUCCUCUUCUACCCUAGUGCUCUCUGUCAUGUCAUAGUGCUGCACCAUCAUUACAGUCCUCCAUUGGCCUGUCAGUGUUUUACUGUUCAGAGUGAUUUUUUUUUAUUGCACUACUCAAUAAAUGUGCACCUACCCACGUCAGUUCCAGUUCUCAUCACAAUUCUCUAUUGUAUUGCAUUUCUCAGCUGUCAAGUCUCAAUAUUUCUUUGUCCUAUUAUGUCAGAAUUUCUCUCACCUUUGUACUCAUCACAGUGGUCCAGUGUCCUAUCACAAUGUUAAAUUGAUCUAAAUUAGUCUCUAAAGCUACUCAACAAUACUCAGGUUCUAUCCCAAUGUUUCUCUGCCCCAUAUUUUCUUUUGUCCCGUUGCAACGCUCAUGUGAUUCCUUAAAAUCUCUCGUCUCUAUCACAGCUCACCACUCAUUGUAUCCCAUUACAAUGUUCAUCAAUCCAGUCACAAUGUCCUCUUAUCCCAUUAUAGUGUUCUUAUGUUCCACCAAAUUGUUCCAGGAUCCCAUCUCAAUCCUGUAGCAGUAUUCCACUGCCUGAUCACAUUCCUCUACCUAUUAAAAUUCUCCACUGUACCUAUCAUAGUGCUCCACUUGCUAGGACAGUAUUCCAUUCUCCAGACGCAAUACUCCAUUCCAUCAUAAUACAGCACUGGUUUUCCUGGGUAGCAUGGUUACUUAGAAGCCUCAUCACUGAAGCUCAAGAAAAUACACAAACUCCUUUCCUACAAUAGGCAGGGACUGCAAAUAAACUUACUAAGCCUGAGAGAUCUCUGAAGGGAAGCAGGCAGACACACUGAGAACUGAUACUGGGUCUGCACGAAUCUUGAGUUGGUAACACUAAGCCCUGAGAGAGCAGUAGAAACUUCAUGGGAAGUGAUGCUCUGCAUACAUGGAACUUGCAGGACUGGAAGAGGUCAAAAUGGACUUUUCAGGGAUCUACCAGGAAAGAAUUUCCAAUGUUCCCUCACAUGCCAGAGUCACCUGGAACACAAGCUACAGAGCCCAUUUAUGCCUCCCCUCAUGGCACCAUGUGCAGCUAGCUAGGAAAAGAAAUAUCUGAAAACCACUUUUAACUCAGUGUGACUGUGUCAGCAAUCUCAUCCUAUAAAAAUUUUAAAAAUUUCUUAUGUAACCUCUACUCUAGCAUGUAUGCUCAUAGUAGUGCUUGUUCACACCCAAGGAUUUAAAGGACUCUCUAUGCUUCACCUACAUCCUAUCCCCUUUUAUUUGUAUGUCUUGUCUUAUCUCAUACUUCUCCUCUCCUCUUUUAUACAAAAACCCUAUGUUUGUGUUUUGUCUAUGUGUUUGUCUCUGUACCACAUUUCCAGAGACCAGAAGAGGGCAUCCUGUUCUCUAGAACAGGACUUACAGAUGGUGAUUAGUGGUUAUGUGGGUGUGGGGAACCAAUCUCAGGUCCUCUAGAGCCACUCCUACUGCCACCUUUGUACUUUGUUUAUAACCUUCCAGGGCUAUACUUCUGGUCUUCAUGGGCACCUGCUCUCUUGCAGUGCACACGAACUCACACAGGCAUACACACAUAAAAAUCUGUAUAACCUUUCUUAAUUAACUUACAUACUUAUUUAACUUAUACUUAAUUUACAAUAAUAUACUAAGUAUAUACUUAAUUAAAAUAACCGUGCUUAAUUAACUAUGUUAGCUUGUAACAGUAUCCCAAGUUUUCUUUCCCUGCUACUUUUCCCACUUCAUCACCAAUCCUGCUGCUCUCCCAUAUCUAAUCGUAGUUACCAAAAUGUAACGUGGGUUAACCCAGCCUACUGCAUUCCUAGGCAGGUGAUCCUGAACUGUCUAAUAAGCUAGCCAAGCAUGACAAGAGUGAGCCAGAGAACAAAGCAGCAAUCAGUAUCCCUCCAUGGUUUCUGUUUGAGUUCCUACCCUGACUACCUCAGUGAUGGAUUGUGAUCUAGAAGUGCAAGAUGAAAUAAAUCCUUUUCUUCGAAAGUUGUGUUUGGUCAGUGUUCCUGGAUCAGAAGAAUUACUAUUGUAACAAUGGCUAACAAUACGGACUCAAGAUAAUCGCAAUAAAAUUACAAAUGCCUCUUUGCAGAAAUAGAAAAAUAAUCCUAAAAUUAAUAUGGAAGCAUGUACGCACACACACACACACCAAACAAAACAAAACCACCACCACCACCAACAAAAAACUGAAUAGCCAAAGCAAUAUUGAACAUAAUAAUAAUACUGGAGGAUAUAGAUAUAGCUUGCCAGUUAAGAGCAACUCCAGUUCAUAGCACUCACUUGGUGACUUCUAGCCAACUGUAACACCAUUACAAGAGAAUGUGACACCUUUUUUCAGCCUCUAGGGGUACCAGGGACAUACACAUACAUACACAUACAUGAAUGCAAAUAAUCUUUUAAAAGGGAUGCUGUUUGAGAUAUUAUGUCUGGUUUUAAGUUAUACUACAGAGCUGUAGUGAUAAGUACAGCAUAAUAUUGGCACAAAAAAAAACCUAGAUACAUAGAUUCAUGAAAUAGAAUUGAGGACUCAUGUAUAAGCCAAUAAAACUACAACCACCUGUUCGAUUUUCUUUGUUUACAAGAAUGCCCAAAAUGUACAUUUGGGAAAACAGAAUCUUGAAUACAUGGUUGUGGAUCUGUGGAUUAGGUUGGGAUAAGGGAUAUAGUUAGGAGUUUGGGUUAGGGUUAUUGCACUCCAGAUUAGGACUAGGGUUAUGCUUAUAGUUCAUAUUAGGUGCAGUUGUCAUGCUCAGUGUUACUCUGUCUCAGGGUUUCACCCUGUGAAGAGACACCAUGACAAUGACAACUCUUAUACAGGAAAACAUUUUGUAACAAGGAACCAAACUGAAGCCAUUUUGCAUAAAACUUCCAUUUUCAAUAGGAGUCAGAGGUGGACAGGAGAUGUCUUGCCCUCUCACUGGUUUCCAAUGGGGAACACCUGGUAUAUACAAUGUGUCUAUAGUUUUGUUUAGUUUGAUUUUUAAUCUGUGAUUUAUAUUUGGAGAAAUGGGCCAGAGAUCAUCUGUUGGUCAUUCACCACAUCUCAAGGAUGUUCAGAAAAAAAUAGCUGAAUUGGGACAACAAAAAUCUCAUAAAUUGGCACUGCCCUUGGAACCCUGCACCUGCAGCUAGGAGCCGAUCACUGCUAGUGAAUCCCUGCCUCCUGCCUGACCUGUACAAGCCACUCUUAAAGGAGCUCCUCAGCUUUCUCCUGUAAGGAAGCUGGUGGCUACUCGUGCAACAACAUCUCUGUGACCAUGAGAAUUUAGUUCAGCAGGUAACAAGGUGCUGCUGCUCCCUUGGAAUUACAGCUGGAGGAAGUAAGGAAAAUUUUGUCUGUUUUAAAUGUACAAAUUUAUGUGGCACUACAUGUUUGUUUCUGUCUGGUCUUAAAUGUAUGAGUUUCUAAUGUUCUGUAUGUCUUGGUUAUAGACUCUUGGCUUGUGGUUAUGGUUAUAAUUGGCUCGCAUAAGGUUAAAAAUCGAUCACCUGUAACAAAAGUUAACUUAAAACUCAUAACUCAGGGUUAGAGCCAUUCUAGACAGCGGCAUAUGUCAGGAGCCAAUCAAGGAAACAGGUCUACAAAGUUACUUUUACAUUGGGAUAAGAUUUAUGUGUAAUUUCUGUCCUCUCUUGAAAACCAAAUGAGAAGGAGAGGGAGAGGGAAAAGAAGAAGAGAAAGAAAUAAAAGAAAAGAAAAGAAGAGGAGGAGGAAGACAAAAAAGAAGGAGAAGAUGAGGAAGAGGAGGAGGAGGAGGAAUUAAAGCUACACCUCCAUGCAACCAUAUGGAAGAACUCUCUUGCUGGCAGCCAAAUUUUGUAACAUAAAAGUAACCCACUUAGUACUGAUUUUAUAAACACUGUAUUUACACUGUUAAAACUUAGUUUUGCCUUCUAAAAGUUAUGGUUGUGCUCUGUCUGCCUUUACUCUUAAAAAUGGUAUUUUAUUUUGAUAUUGCAAAAGCACACAAUUGAUAGAUUUUAAACUUCUUUUUUUAAAAAAGAUGUAUGUAUUAUUAUACAUAAGUACACUGUAGCUGUCUUCAGACCCACCAGAAGAGGGUGUCAGAGCUCAUUAUGGGUGGUUGUGAGCCACAAUGUGGUUGCUGGGAUUUGAACUCAGGACCUUUGGAAGAGCAAUCAGUGCUCUUACCUACUGAGCCAUCUCACCAACCCAAUUCUAAACUUCUUUAAAGAAAGCUUUAAAAAUUUACAGAAAGUUUAAAAACAAUACUUUUAAAAACGGCUUUUUAAAAUGUUUUAAUUUAUAAAGCUAUGGGACAUUUAAAAGUUUAACAGAUAUUUUAUUGUAAUUGAUGAAUGGAUAAAUAAAACGCUAAAAAUUAGGGCCACAACUGAAUUCCAGAGACUGAAAAAUUCCUGUUUUAUAAUGCAAUGAAACAUUGACCUUGUGCAGUCUGACAAAGAACUUGAAUAUAAAAGGGUUACAGAAUUUUAGAAAAAUUGAAAAUCAGUGUCUUAAAAAUAUGUCUAUUGGUCUAGUCAGCCUAACAGAAGCUGAUUUAAAGAUAUAGUGCUGACCUCCUUGUUUUUACUAGCACUGUUAAGCUAUACCUAUUUUGGUAAGCUGAAUCAUAUAGCAAAACAAACAAACAAACAAAACAAAACAAAAUACCCUGUUGUGUUCUAUAAUACCCAUGUAAUGAUCAAAGAAAAAGUAAGUUUUUAGUCUCUAUGUUUUAAAGUGUUAUCUCGUACUAAAAGAGCUUUAAUUAAGAAAUUGCCAUUUCAUUUUAAAUUGUUAGGGAUAAUUUAAAAAAUGAUCAACUUCUUUACGAUGUUCAGAACGCUAUUUGUAGUCAUGCUAAAUACCUGUGAUUAUGGGCAUUUCUACCUAGGUGCAAAUUCCCUAAAUAGUGACUCUGAGAAUUCUUUUAUAUGAACAAAUGUCUAGGUCAACAGCUUUGUCUUGUUUCCACUAGCUCACAACUCAAUUAUCCUGUUAAAUUACUCUUAAGUUAUAUCAUGUGGUUGGUUACCUCUCUGCAGGUUUGAACGUAUGUUUUCAUCAGUGUUCAUGACAAAUCUCCCAUGCCUGACGAUUUCCCAGAAUCCUCUCUCUUUCCCUCCUUCUACUCCUGCCUCAGUUCAUUGGCCACAGUCUUUUUAUUUGACAGGUGAUGAUUCCCCAGGGUACAUAAAGAUUCCCUCCACUAUCCCCCUUUUUGUCCAAAAGGGGCUCUUUCUCUAACAAUACAAAACUAUGCAAUAAAAACAAUUAUGAAAGCCAUCAGGUAAGAUUUACAUUCACCGUGUCCAUUCCAUAUGUAUUUGUCAACCUUGGAGAAAGUAUUCUACUAUCUUAGUGACUUUCGAGUUCCAUACAUAAAUCAAUUUCUAUUAUAACUUGUAUUGCCAACCUAAAAAUACCCUAGACCUUAGGAACAUUUUCUUAAAUCUUAAACAACUUCUGCUUAAUUGUGAGACUAUAACUAUGUAGUUGUCAACCCCAUCAGAGACCUAAGAAGGAGUAAAUAGUACCUGAAUAUGCAGGAAGUGCAGAGCAAGCAGAGCAAACUACAGAAAAGACAGAAGAGCUGGCUGCCUGGACAGUCACAAAAGUUUCUCUGUGUUGUAGCAGCAUCCAUCUUUGACCUUCUGGCCCAGAAUACCUUUUCUUUGAAGCAGGAAUUUUGAAGGACUGUUUAUCUUGUCUUGGCAAAACUCAGCAGUCAACUUCCCUGUAUCUCAUUUGUCCAGCUUGGACAGCAAACUGUCAGCAGUUGACAGGGCAGCUUCUCACCAAGUGACUAGCUUGCCAGUUUUGAAGCAAACUCCUUAUGGAGGUUCUUCUAUGCUCAUCAUCUUCCUGGAUGUACAGUGGGGGUACUGCCAGGAGCAGACCUGCCUCAUUGUCAAAAAGGCCUUUUAAUAAUAAAACAUCUUUAAAUGCUGUAGUUUAAAUGCUAUAGUUUCUUUACAUCCCCGCGUUUACCCCUGACAGUAGAUAGGAGAGAAAGAGAGAGGAAAGAACAAGAAGAAAAGAACCUUCUGUGCCUAACCUUCCCGGUCCAAUACCAGAACGACUAGUAACCACGCCCACUUAAAUGAUGAUAAAUGUCCAUCUUCCACUGAGUAGCCAAAACCCAUCUACCCCGCCUCUUGGGAACAAGGGCAUCACUCUCUUAAAAUUGCUUCCUGCUGAUUUGGGGCAUCAUUUUCUUUUUGCACACCUCCCCCAAAUUGGGAUAUUGGUCAGCCUUAAGAAAGCUAGCUGUAACAUUUGCUGUCCAGUCUCUGUAUGCUGAGAAAGAUCAGGGCUUAACGGAAGUCCUGACUGGAGCAGUCUGUGAUACUUGACAAUAUAGCUAGCUGUCUUUGAAACUUUCCCAGAUACAGAUUUUUGAGGGAACAGCAUCAAGUAGGUAUGAAGUAGGAUCAAACAGCAUAAUGGAAUAAAUAUGUCUCAGCAUCUCAGCACUUUAACAUCUCCGACGGUGGAUCGCUUCAGGUCUGCAUUGACUUCACUGGUGUCUGUAAACAUAAAACUCUUAAAGGUGAUAUACAUUUCUACAAUAACAUAUGCAUGGAAUGUGCAGUGUGCACAAUUCAGUUAAAGAUGAUUCUCUGCUUUCUUUUUGAACAGGUAAGGCAUCUUUCUUUAUAAAUUAGUUUGGAUUGUAUAAUCAAAAUGCAAUAUAAAAUUCUGUCGAUGCCAUUUGGAAGGACAGAGUGAUAAGUCUAGAGGAUUUUGUAGCCAAAAGGAUGUGUUGGCUAUGCACAGCUGAAGUUCUGGCUGGAGACAUUUUCUUGUCUCAGCCAGUCUCAGAGCUGAUCCCAAGUAGAGAGAUCAGGAUAUAUUUUACUUGUUUUGUUAUUGAUUUUUUUUUCCUGUCUGCAGCCAAGAUUUUCAGGGGGUCUCCUUCUUUCAAAUCUGAUUUUUUUCAACUUGGAAGGAAUUCAUAGUUUUCCUUUCCCUGUGGAAACAAAUACAAAGCCUCGCCUCCCCUCCCCUCUUCAUAAUACAUUUCCAUCCUUCCAUUUUGAAGUUAAGACAUCCUUACUAUACACAGGCUGAUUUAGUGCAGCUGUUUUUCCAUAAUCCACUAUAUCUCAGCAGCUGUUGUUUUUGGUUCAUUAACUUUUAAAAAAUUUAAACUUAAUAAAGCAGUAUGUAAUCUAUCCUGUUACCCACUUUUAUUCUAUGAUCAUUUCAUUUAAUAUCCUGUUAGAUCUCCCCAUAACUGCUUGGCCUGUAGGAUUGUAAGCUAUAUUUGUAACAUGUUUUAUACCAUAGUGUCUAAAAAAAAUUGCUGUAUUUUAAGGGAUACAUGUGUUGAAGCAUCAUCAGCUCGAAUAUGUAAAGGAAUUUCCAAGAUAGUUAUCAUCUCUAAUAAAUGUGCAAUCUCAGAACCAUCUUUUUCAGAAUUCAAGGCAAAAUCCCAUUGGAAUUCAGAACAUGUAUCAACUGUAUGAUAUAUCAACACAUACAUAUUUAAAAAUUUUAACCUCUAUAAAGUGAAUCAUUUAAGUUAUUGAAUGACAUUGCUUUAAGGGAGCAUCAUUAAGCAGAAUCUAGAUUCUUAACCCAGUAUAUUACAGCUCUAUGGGCUGCCAUUCUAAUUCCUUAACCCUGUAUGAGUUCUCCCCAUCUGGAAUUACCUUUUCUGCUGUCACUGUAUGUUCCAGAUUGGAUUCUUUUGAAGAUUUUAAAAUUCUGAUUCAAAGAACCUUCUAAACUCUGUUAUAUGUCCUCUGAUUUAGCAUUCCAUCUUUCAAUCAUUUCUUUCUCUAAGUCUGCUUUAUUCUGAUCUUUCUUAAAGAGAAUAUGUACAACUACAAUCAUCAUUUGCAUUCUGAUAACCAGAAUAAAAUUAUUCAGGGUCCAAGUGCCCUCUGUCUUUGUGUUUUUCUCCCUUUUUUAAACAUAGAAUAUGUUUUUCUUUUAAUCUCUAACUCUCUCCUUAAGGACUUCAUUUUCUUCUUUUCAAAAUAAUAUUUCUUUCUACAAUUUUUUUUUAAUACUCUGCUGCUCCAGAAAAAUCUUCAGAUUCCUUAGGCUGGCAUGUGUCUAUGGCAGCUAAUUCUGCCUCAUUAGUGCAGUCUAGCAGGACGCCCUUGCCAGUUCUGGGCUGGAGCUGCUCCUCAUAAGGGCUUUGCAUUCUCAACUCAGUUAAGCUUAUGGCUGUAGAGUCCAACAUAAUCUCCUUUAUUCUGAAACAAGGAUUUGAAUACUGUACAAAGACAAGUGGUGAAGGGGUGUAAGAAGGAAUCAAACUGAAGCCAUUUUGAAUAAAACUUCCAUUUUAAGUUGAGGUCAAAUAAAGUUUAAACUUCGGAGACCUCCCUGGGUAACUGACAUCCUGCUUGGCAGAAAGAGGCAUGAAUAAUAAUAGUCAAGUUGACCUGCCACAGUUGUAUAACCCAAUGAAUGGGAAUAGGGUAAGUGUAUCACAAAGACACAUUCCUAAGGAAGUCUCCUAUUCCUGCAUCCUGAUUGUUGGGAUAACUUGCCACAGAUGUGUGUGGUUCUGAAGCUUAAGAACUCUGUAGCAUUUUGGCUCUAGGUCACACUUCAGCUCCCAAGCUGUGCCCCUGAUCCAUCAGUAUCGCCCUGAGUACAAUAAAAUAUUCUCAUCUCCUUAAAUACUAAGAUGAAGUUUUGAAGAUAUAUGACGCUCCUGAGUUUGUGCUGUUGUCCCCGACUGGUCAGUUUUUUGCUGCCUAAUUCAAAUAAAGAGCUUAUUUUUCUGGACUCUUGUUUGUAUCUGCUUGGGUUGUUUUGGAUUGUUGGACUCUAACAAUUUAAUUGAGGGUGGCUUACACUUCCAUUAUCAUUGUGGAAGGAAGCAUGGCUGCAUGCAGCCAGAGAUGGUGCUGUAUGAGCCAAGAGUUCUACAUUUUGAUCUGCAGGCAGCAGGAGACUGUGUGUUAUACUGGGAAUAGCCUGAGUGUAGGAGACUUCAAAGCCCACCUCCG
rnacentral:lncRNA from 1 species